rnacentral:lncRNA from 1 species
CCAAUGGCUGAGAACUACACAACAAAAAGAAAUGGCCAAAUAAGUGUUCAAGAUGCACAAGUGGCUGUGGUUAUGGUGCCACUUUCAGCACAAGGCCAUCUCAACCAGCUUCUCCACCUCUCGAGGCUCAUCACCUCGUAUAAUAUCCCAGUCCAUUAUGUUGGAGCAACCACUCAUAUUCGCCAGGCUAAGUUUCGUGUCCAUGGUUUCGACCCUGGCACAGCUAAAAACCUAUAUUUUCAUGAAUUCCCUACACCACCUUUCGAAAAUCCUCCUCCAAAUCCUAAUGCUUCAAAUAAAUUUCCUAACCAAUUAAUCCCUUCAUUUUAUGCAACAAUCCAUCUCCGUGAGCCAGUGUGCUCUCUUGUACGCCAACUACUAGGCGUCAAUCAUCGGAGAGUGAUUGUUAUUUAUGAUUCUAUGAUGAGUUGGGUAGUAGAGGAUGUACCAGCAAUUCCAAAUGCUGAGUGCUACCGUUUUAAUAGUAUCUCAGCUUUCCAUACGUUUUCAUGCAUCUGGGAAUCCAGAGGGAAACCUUUACAAGCUGGAACUGAAAUAUUCGAGGACAUUUCAUCAAACGAAAACUGUGCUACCCCAGAGUUAUGGGAAUUAUGGAGUAAACAAAAUUCCCUUGAAGGGAAAAUUAGCUCUGGAGAACUUUACAAUUCAUCCAGAGUAAUAGAAGGUUUAUACCUUGAUUUAGUAGCCAAAGAAAUUAAUGGCUUAAACCUACGGGCUAUUGGUCCAUUCAAUCCGUUGUUGCUGACUGAGCAGGACAAUGAUUCAAAUAAACGUCACAAAACCUUGGAUUGGCUUGACAAACAAGAACCGGACUCAGUGAUAUAUGUGUCUUUUGGAACAUCUACUUCUUUGUCGAAUGAAGAAAUUGAACAACUCGCCAUUGGGUUAGAGAAAAGCCUGCAAAAGUUCAUUUGGGUUCUCAGAGAUGCUGACAAAGGAGAUGUUUUUGCAGGUGAAGAAAGGAGAGCUCGGCUGCCGGAAGGUUAUGAAGAAAGAAUAAAAGGAAGAGGAAUUAUUGCAAGAGAUUGGGCACCUCAGUUGGAAAUUUUGGCACAUCCUUCCACAGGUGGUUUUAUGAGUCAUUGCGGAUGGAAUUCGUGCAUGGAAAGCAUUUCCAUGGGAGUUCCUAUAGCAGCCUGGCCAAUGCACUCAGAUCAACCAAGGAAUUCUCAGCUGGUAACAAAGUUCCUGAAAAUUGGCCUAAAUUUGAGACAUGGGGCAUGUCAGGAUGAAUUGGUUACAUCAGAAAUGGUUGAAAAUGCUGUGAGAACUUUGAUGGCUUCACCUGAGGGAGGUGAGAUGAGGAAGAGAGCAUCAGAAUUAAGUGUUGCUGUCAAACAAUCAGUCAUGGAUGGGGAAGGUACUGGUACAGAGAUGGAUUCUUUUAUCACACACAUUACUCGAUAACUUCUCAUUUGUAUUGAACAAUUGGUUGCACACUACCAUCUAGUUAACAUAAGUGAUACAACCUAUGACACUGUAUCAAUGCUCUAUCACCAUCCGAGUGGGUUCAGUGUCCACCCUACUGGCACCCCUUUAUGCACAUCACGGCAUGUAUGUUGAGGAUAAAAACCUUUCCUUUAUGAGUUCUUUGUAUUUGUUAAUAUAAAAGUGGAUGUCCUCCCAGAUAAAUAAAAUAUUGGAUGCUGUUUGUGAAUUCUUACAAGAAUUUUGUGCUUGUGACCUGAAUAACAUAGUAUGUUCUUUCAGGACUUUUAUAGCUUCUUGUCUUUAACUCUGUGACCUUGUAUUUGAUAUUCUGCCAGACUUCUCAUGUUGGUAGGAGUAGACAAUCUUUUUAAGUGUACUUUACAAUAUUUUCUCAACAUUUAUAGAAUACUCUUUUUUGCAUCAAGACAAAUACGGAAGAGCUCUGGUAUUCUAUGAAGUUUUUCAAUUAAAAUAUGAAUCACUUUGUAACUAUACUAACUUUUAACCUUAGCAACACUUUUUCAAAUCUUACGAUGAGUGAUCCAUGAAGCUGUCAGAAAAUCAGAAGAGUUUGACACAAGGUAGCUCUGCUUGUAUCUAUUUUUAUCUGAAGAUGCUUAUUUCAGAUUUAUUAAGUGGUCAAAUUAGUGGGUGACUGAGGAAGGUCUUUGAUUCCUUGACCAACUAAGAUUGCUAAGCAUUUUUUAAUCUUUUGUGUCUUACCCUCUAAAACGAAGCUAAAUUACAGGAAAAUACUACAUAAUGAAGUCUAUUAUGACUGCUCCUUGACUAAAGUUUGCUCCAUUAUGUAAUACUCCUACUAUAUUGUCCUACGAUAAAAGAAUCUGAAGAUAGCAGUGUUUAUAAGAACCACAAAACUAAUAUUGAUAUUUCUUUGAUUCUUGCACUUGAAAUAAACAUAUAUUUGAUUUUUACAAUUAUGAUGAUGAGGAUGUAAAUUCGACUGAGAUUACAAUGACAACUAUCUCAGUAUCUUUAAUACUUACGUGGGUGUAUACUUUUUUUUUCUUCAAAUAAUAUUUUUAUGGUCUGCCUUUGCUGUUGGUUUUUCCUCCAUUUUGUAUAAAACUCAACCAGUUGCUGUUGGUUUUACUGAUAGACAACAAAGGAUUUGAUUGUGACUACUUUAAGUAAUACAUUUUGCAGCAAUAUGUCAAAUAACAGAAGUUAAAAAAUUUCAAUAUCUUUUUAACAAUUAAGCUUUCUAGCAGCCGGCCAGAUAAUUCUAGUUGUUGGAUUCAUGCAUUAGACAUAAUCCUUAUAAGAUCAUCUAUGUUUUUCUCCUACAUAUAACUCAAGGCACUUCAGAAACGGCAGACACUCAUCAAACUACAAAAUUUCUAAGCAUUUCCCAAUGGCCGAGAACUACCCCAUAAAAAGCGAUGGCAAAAAGGGUGUUCAGGAUGCACAAGUGGCAGUGGUUAUGGUGCCACUUUCAGCACAAGGCCAUCUCAACCAGCUUCUCCACCUCUCGAGGCUCAUCACCUCGUAUAAUAUCCCAGUCCAUUAUGUUGGAGCAACCACUCAUAUUCGCCAGGCUAAGUUUCGUGUCCAUGGCUUCGAUCCUGUCACAGCUAAAAAUCUAUAUUUUCAUGAAUUCCCUACACCAC